rnacentral:rRNA from 1 species
GGACAAGCGAAUAAGUGCACAUGGUGGAUGCCUUGGCGAUUACAGGCGAUGAAGGACGUAGUAGCUUGCGAUAAGCUGCGGGGAGUGAGCAAACACACUUUGAUCCGCAGAUUUCCGAAUGGGGCAACCCACCCUUUUAGGGUAUUGCAUACUGAAUACAUAGGUAUGCAAGGCGAACGCGGCGAACUGAAACAUCUAAGUAGCUGCAGGAAAAGAAAUCAACCGAGAUUCCCAAAGUAGCGGCGAGCGAAAUGGGAAGAGCCUGUACGUGAUAGUCGGACCGAUAACAGAAUCCUCUGGAAAUAGGAGCCAUAGUGGGUGAUAGCCCCGUAUGUGAAAUCGGACCGGUGGUACUAAGCGUACGACAAGUAGGGCGGGACACGUGACAUCCUGUCUGAAUAUGGGGGGACCAUCCUCCAAGGCUAAAUACUCGUAAUCGACCGAUAGUGAACCAGUACCGUGAGGGAAAGGCGAAAAGAACCCCGGAAGGGGAGUGAAAUAGAUCCUGAAACCGUGUGCAUACAAACAGUAGGAGCGGACUUGUUCCGUGACUGCGUACCUUUUGUAUAAUGGGUCAGCGACUUACAUUCAGUGGCAAGGUUAACCAGAUAGGGAAGCCGUAGAGAAAUCGAGUCCGAAUAGGGCGAUCAGUCGCUGGGUGUAGACCCGAAACCAAGUGAUCUACUCAUGGCCAGGAUGAAGGUGCGGUAACACGCCCUGGAGGUCCGAACCCACUAAUGUUGAAAAAUUAGGGGAUGAGCUGUGGGUAGGGGUGAAAGGCUAAACAAACUUGGAAAUAGCUGGUUCUCUCCGAAAACUAUUUAGGUAGUGCCUCAAGUAUCACCAUCGGGGGUAGAGCACUGUUAUGGCUAGGGGGUCAUUGCGACUUACCAAACCAUUGCAAACUCCGAAUACCGAUGAGUGCGAGCUUGGGAGACAGACGUCGGGUGCUAACGUCCGGCGUCAAGAGGGAAACAACCCAGACCGCCAGCUAAGGUCCCAAAGAUUGGCUAAGUGGAAAACGAAGUGGGAAGGCUAAAACAGUCAGGAUGUUGGCUUAGAAGCAGCCAUCAUUUAAAGAAAGCGUAAUAGCUCACUGAUCGAGUCGUCCUGCGCGGAAGAUGUAACGGGGCUAAGCCAGUCACCGAAGCUGCGGAUAUC